AAAUUACUGAUGCAAAAAGUUGUACAAAUGAGGAAAUAAAUGUUGGCUCAACAUAAUGGUUGUGUCAAAAAAGAAAAAUAUGUUUGGUCAAUGAUUGCAUGAUUUCCAUGACUGUACUACAAAAUGUUCAUCAAGAGAAAAUAAAUAAUUGUGUUGACAGAACUUUUAACGUUGCACAAAAAAUAUUAUGUUGGCCGAGCAAGAGGGAACAGCGUCAAUCAUCUGAGCAUGCGCAAAGGAGUUCUACCAGGCGCCUCCUGGAAUUUCCCCCACCACGAGUCACGACAUUGCAGUGCAGAAGAAAGAAAUUCAUACAGGUUUGAAACAACAUGAGGACCACAGAUCUAACUACUUAUAGAAGGUCUGCUGUUCUUCAUGGUCUUCCCCUGUACUUGAGAGAGCCAGCUUAAAUUUCAAAGACUAUUUAGGAUACUGAGGCACUGGGGCCACACACAAAGGCCAUGAAAAUGGGGAUCCUGGAAGUGACUGACAGUUCUACAAACUCAGGACCAUAUCCCACAGUGGUCAAUGUGGCUGUAGUACUGGAGGAGGAAGUUGUCAUGUUUUACUGAAUUUCAUUUUGUAAAGCAGAUAUUUGUUUUUCCAGUACAGCUAUUGACUAAGAGUGAUAUGUCAUGCUUUCUUGAACUCUCAGAUCUUGUUUUGGCACUGGUUGAAUACUUGUGUAAUAUUUUACUUGAGCCUAACAGGCAAGUUCAUAUGUAUUUAAAUAAAUACAUAAAAUGUUCUUUA